AAUUCAUCAGUGAAACGAAGAUGGCGGAAUUGAGAGGACUGAAGCUGGAGCAGAGGCAUGGGAAAUCCAGAGUGAGAGUAGCUAGGGUUUGGAGAGAUCGAGAUGGAAAACAUCACUUUGCUGAAUGGAGCGUUAACAUCAGUCUCAUCUCCGAUUGUUUACCUGCAUAUGUCUCCGGCGAUAAUUCCGAUAUCGUCGCCACCGAUACCAUGAAGAACACUGUAUAUGCGAAAGCUAAGGAAUCUUCAGCUGAAAGUUUCUCUGAACAUUCCUUAGCUUUCGCAUAUA
rnacentral:misc_RNA from 1 species